rnacentral:tRNA from 1 species
AAAUAAGAAACAAAUAAUUGUAAUUAGUUUCGACCUAAUCCUUGGUGUAAGCCCUUAUUUU